GCCCCCGUCGUCUAGCCAGGCCUAGGACCCCGGUCUUUCAAGCCGGUAACACGGGUUCGAAUCCCGUCGGGGGCACCA
rnacentral:tRNA from 2 species